CUUUAGGAGACCUUGGCCCGGGUGAUGGGUUGUGGGGAACCACCUACAGGAAGGGGACUGCUGGAGGCGGAACAGCCCUCAACCUGAAAGGACCCGUGCCCAAACUGAAGGGCAGGCAUCUCCUUCUCCCCCUCCUCGCCCUUCCCUUAUGCUCACAAACCCCAGCUCUCUGCUACUUUUUAUAACGCUUUAUUCGAGAUCCUGCUACACAUCCAGAAAACAAUCCCACCCUACGGAAUUCAUUUCUGCACUCCAAAUGCUGGGCGCGAGACGGGCUCAGAUACCCAGUGUUGGUGAGGACAAGAAGGGUUACAGGUGAUGCAUUCACAGGGGGCAGCAGGGCUGCGGGGGGGGGGGGGGGGGGGGGGGGGGGGGGGAGGGCAGUGAGUGUGGCUGGGCAGGCAGGGCUGCAGGUGGGGACCAGAGAAGGGGUAUAGGGAUGUUUAUGAGACCUAGAUGGAUUUUAUCCACCAGGCCCUGUUGAUGGAUUAGAAGUGGAGGGCGACUAGUGGGCUUCUGGCUGGCCCUGCUGAGUGGGUACUGAUGACAUUAAGGGUGUGGGGGCAGGGGGAGGAGACCAGAGGAGAAGCAGCAGGGAAGGGAGGUGAAGGAAGAUGUGACCUCAGUUUUGGCCAGGUGAGUUUGAGGUCAAGGUGGGCAUGAGUAUAAGGUCAAGGGCUAGAUUGGUGAGCCAGAGGGUCCAGUAGGGCGGCAAGCCCACCCUGCGAGGAGGAGCUGGGAGGGCAAAGCUGGAAGGCCCCUUGGAUCUGCAGAUUUCGAAUCGCUCAUCUCAACCUACCAGCCACCAGCCUCCUGCAUCUGUUUAUUUCUACAUUAAAUACAAUGAAAUGCAAUUUGAAACGCGGUUCUUUACUCACGUGAGCCACAUUUCCAAUGCUCAACAGCUACAUGUGACCAGUGGCUGCCGUAUCAGACCACUUCCAAAUGGAAGCAAGUCCCAGAAGACCAGGAAGUCACCCCAGGGGAAAUGGCUUCUCCCCCCUUUUAUGCCACCUUUGAACCAGCGUCCGGGCCCCACGGGAUCAUCUCGUAGGUACCCACCAGCCAAGGACUACCAGGACCGGUGCCUGUGGUAAGGUUUAUCAAUCGGCUGCAAUCAGGGGGAGGGCCCAAUGUGGGGAACUGGAGGGGUCUCCAUGAGGGCCGUCAGGAAGGACUUUCGGCAGAAUUUGUACUUGCCUUAGGUACUUAGGGAAGUUCAAGGUAGCGUCACUUUACUGAGGCCCUCCUUUUUAUUGGACACUCAGGGGGCGCCUGGGUGGCUCGGUCACUUAGGCGUCUGACUUUGGCUCAGGUCAUGAUCUCACAGUUUGUGGGUUCAAACCCCACAUCGGGCUCUGUGCUGACAGCUGGGAGCCUGAAGCGGCUUCGGAUUCUGUGUCUCCCUCUCUCUCUGCCCCUCCCCCACUAGCACUGUCUCUUUCUUUCAAAAAUAAAUAAAACUUUAAAAAAAAAAAAAAGGAAAAA
rnacentral:lncRNA from 1 species